UACGAGGGGUGCAAGCGUUGCUCGGAAUUAUUGGGCGUAAAGGGUAGGUAGGUGGUCUGAUUUGUCUGGGGUGAAAGCCUUGAGCUUAACUCAAGAAGUGCCCCAGAAACGGUCAGACUGGAGUCUCGGAGAGGGUCGUGGAAUUCCCGGUGUAGCGGUGAAAUGCGUAGAGAUCGGGAGGAACACCAGCGGCGAAGGCGGCGACCUGGACGAGCACUGACACUCAACUACGAAAGCGUGGGGAGCAAACGGG
rnacentral:rRNA from 1 species